rnacentral:lncRNA from 1 species
UCUCUUCUUUUGCAGUAUCUACACGUGAUCAAGCACAAUGCAAGUGGUAUCGAAAAGAUCCUAUGAUAGUGGUGUCCUGGUCAGACAUCCCCAACAACUGAUAUCAGAGCUCAGGUGGUAUCAACACAUGAGAUUGUCCAGAUCGUGAUAGUGUUGAUCGGGAUUGAAGAAGAUAGAGAAGAUAAGCUUAAUCAAGGUAGAGAUCAGCUGG